rfam:Gammaproteobacteria bacterium 13_2_20CM_66_19 13_2_20cm_scaffold_8088, whole genome shotgun sequence.
CAGUGGGUGCGAAUCCCACCCGGCGACUUUCGCUCCAGCCGGUAGCAAUCGGAGCAGUCGUGGAGGUAACGAAGCGGCUGAAGCCUUCGGUGAAAAGAGCCCUGUGAGGGGUUUGGCGAGUAUGCAGGCCGUAACGAGA